UAUAGAUUUUCCAAUUGUUCUAAAAAUAAAGGAAUCAAUGUCAGAAGUGAGACUGAAAAAAGGAGGGUGCCAGAAAAUAGACUAUGGAGAUUAUUCUUCUAAGAAUACGAUGCUCACAAGAAAAAGAAUUCACAGUUCAGAUUUGAAGUCUUGCAAAGAUGGAGGGGGCAUCUGGCCAUAAGAAUUUUUUGAAAUAACUGAAGGAAAUUUGUUUUAAAAAAGCAUGCUACAUUAAACAAAAUUUUAGAAACUUUUUGGGUAGAAGAGUGCCUUACAGCGUUUUUUUAGUUAAAGAUA
rnacentral:lncRNA from 1 species